GACAGAGGGUGCGAACGUUGCUCGGAAUUACUGGGCGUAAAGCGCGUGUAGGCGGGUAAUCAAGUCAGAUGUGAAAGCCCUGGGCUCAACCCAGGAACUGCAUUUGAAACUGGUUGCCUUGAGUGUUGGAGAGGGAAGCGGAAUUCCUGGUGUAGAGGUGAAAUUCGUAGAUAUCAGGAGGAACACCGGUGGCGAAGGCGGCUUCCUGGACAACUACUGACGCUGAGACGCGAAAGCGUGGGGAGCAAACAGG
rnacentral:rRNA from 1 species